AUAAGCGGAGGAAAAGAAACCAACMGGGAUUGCCUCAGUAACGGCGAGUGAAGCGGCAAAGGCUCAAAUUUGAAAUCUGGCUUCCUUGCGGAAGUCCGAGUUGUAAUCUGUAGAGGAUGCUUCGGCACGGCCCGGGUCUAAGUUCCUUGGAACAGGACAUCACAGAGGGUGAGAAUCCCGUAUGUGGCUCGUGGGCAUGUUGUCAUGUGAAGCGCCUUCAACGAGUCGAGUUGUUUGGGAAUGCAGCUCUAAAUGGGAGGUAAAUUUCUUCUAAAGCUAAAUACUGGCCAGAGACCGAUAGCGAACAAGUAGAGUGAUCGAAAGAUGAAAAGCACUUUGGAAAGAGAGUUAAAAAGUACGUGAAAUUGUUGAAAGGGAAGCGCUUGCGAUCAGACUCGUUCUCGGUAUGCGUUGUCGGGUCACGCACCCAACAACAUCAUCCGUCCACGGGCCAGCAUCGGUUCGGGCGUCGGGAUAAAGGCCCGAGGAAUGUGGCUCGUUCUCGAGUGUUACCAGCCUCGGGCGUCAUGCCGGCCGCUCGAACCGAGGAAUGCGCGUCUCCACGCACGGAUGCUGGCGUAAUGGUC
rnacentral:rRNA from 1 species